AUUGAACGCUGGCGGCAGGCCUAACACAUGCAAGUCGAGCGAGCGGCGGACGGGUGAGUCAUGUCUGGGAAACUGCCUGAUGGAGGGGGAUAACUACUGGAAACGGUAGCUAAUACCGCAUACCAUCAGAUGUGCCCAGGUGGGAUUAGCUAGUCGGUGGGGUAACGGCUCACCUAGUCGACGAUCCCUAGCUGGUCUGAGAGGAUGACCAUCCACACUGGACCUGAGCCACGGCCCAGACUGCUACGGGAGGCAGCAGUGGGGAAUAUUGCACAAUGGGCGCAAGCCUGAUGCAUCCAUGCCGCGUGUGUGAAGAAGUCCUUCGGGUUGUAAGUCACUUUCAGCGGGGAGGCGUUACCCGCAGAAGAAGCACCGGCUAACUCCGUGCCAGCAGCCGCGGUAAUUC
rnacentral:rRNA from 1 species